CUGGCUCAGAGCGAACGCUGGCGGCAGGCCUAACACAUGCAAGUCGAACGAACUCUUCGGAGUUAGUGGCGGACGGGUGAGUAACACGUGGGAACGUGCCUUUUGGUUCGGAAUAACUCAGGGAAACUUGUGCUAAUACCGAAUGUGCCCUUCGGGGGAAAGAUUUAUCGCCAUUAGAGCGGCCCGCGUCUGAUUAGCUAGUUGGUGAGGUAACGGCUCACCAAGGCGACGAUCAGUAGCUGGUCUGAGAGGAUGAUCAGCCACACUGGGACUGAGACACGGCCCAGACUCCUACGGGAGGCAGCAGUGGGGAAUAUUGCACAAUGGGCGAAAGCCUGAUGCAAGCGACGCCGCGUGAACGAAGAAGUAUUUCGGUAUGUAAAGUUCUAUCAGCAGGGAAGAAAAAUGACGGUACCUGACUAAGAAGCUCCGGCUAAAUACGUGCCAGCAGCUGC
rnacentral:rRNA from 1 species